AAGGGACCUUGCGUAGUUCGGAAUUACUGGGCUUAAAGAGUUCGUAGGUGGUUGAAAAAGUUGGUAGUGAAAUCCCAGAGCUUAACUCUGGAACUGCCAUCAAAACUUUUCAGCUAGAGUAUGAUAGAGGAAAGCAGAAUUUCUAGUGUAGAGGUGAAAUUCGUAGAUAUUAGAAAGAAUACCAAUUGCGAAGGCAGCUUUCUGGAUCAUUACUGACACUGAGGAACGAAAGCAUGGGUAGCGAAGAGGAUUAGAUACCCUCGUAGUCCAUGCCGUAAACGAUGUGUGUUAGACGUUGGAAAUUUAUUUUCAGUGUCGCAGGGAAACCGAUAAACACACCGCCUGGGGAGUACGACCGCAAGGUUAAAACUCAAAUGAAUUGACGGGGACCCGCACAAGUAGUGGAGCAUGUGGUUUAAUUCGAAGAUACGCGCAGAACCUUACCAACACUUGACAUGUUCGUCGCGACUCUAAGAGAUUAGAGUUUUCGGUUCGGCCGGACGAAACACAGGUGCUGCAUGGCUGUCGUCGGCUCGUGUCGUGAGAUGUUGGGUUAAGUCCCGCAACGAGCGCAACCCUCACUUUUAGUUGCCAUCAUUAAGUUGGGCACUCUGAAAGAACUGCCAGUGAUAAGCUGGAGGAAGGUGGGGAUGACGUCAAGUCCUCAUGGCCCUUACGUGUUGGGCUACACACGUGCUACAAUGGCAUCUACAACAGGAAGCAAAACGGCAACGUUAAGCAAAUCCCGAAAAGAUGCCUCAGUUCGGAUUGCACUCUGCAACUCGAGUGCAUGAAGCUGGAAUUACUAGUAAUCGUGGAUCAGCGUGCCACGGUGAAUGCGUUCCCGGGUCUUGUACACACCGCCCGUCACACCAUGGGAGUUGGUUCUACCUUAAGGCAAGGUUUUAAACCCUUGACCACGGUAUAGUCAGCGACUGGGGUGAAGUCGUAACAAGGUAGCCGUAGGGGAACCUGCGGCUGGAUUACCUCCUUUCUAAGGAUGAGUGAAAGUAAAAUUUCACUCUAAAUAAUAUACAUCGGUAAUGUUGACCGUCCUCAUUUCUCUUCUUAAAGUAAUGUUUCCUUCUUGUAGGGCCGGUAGCUCGGUUGGUUAGAGCACACCCUUGAUAAGGGUGGGGUCGAAAGUUCGAGUCUUUCUCGGCCCACCAAAAACCUAAAUGGGGGAUUAGCUCAUCUGGGAGAGCGCCUGAUUUGCAUUCAGGAGGUAGCAGGUUCGAUCCCUGUAUCCUCCACCAGGAAACAUUUAGUUAUUUAAACUGUAAAUAAAAAUAAUUUAUAUCAAUAUCUAUAUCCGAACAUUAAAAGUUAUUAUUUAAUGUUCAAAAUAAAAAUUUGAUCACAACAUAGAUAAAUUUUCUGUUAAAAGAAUUUUUUUCUGUGCAUAAAUCAAGCGUUUAAGGGCGUGUAGUGGAUGCCUUGGCACUGAAAGCCGAUGAAGGACGUGAUAUACUGCGAUAAGUUUCGGGGAGUUGUAUGUAAGCUUUGAUCCGAAAAUUU
rnacentral:sRNA from 1 species